AUUGAACGCUGGCGGCAGGCCUAACACAUGCAAGUCGAACGAGUGGCGGACGGGUGAGUAAUGUCUGGGAAACUGCCUGAUGGAGGGGGAUAACUACUGGAAACGGUAGCUAAUCCCGCAUACCAUCAGAUGUGCCCAGAUGGGAUUAGCUUGUUGGUGGGGUAACGGCUCACCAAGGCGACGAUCCCUAGCGGGUCGGAGAGGAUGACCAGCCAAACUGGAACGGGGACACGGUCCAGACGCCUACGGGAGGCAGCAGUGGGGAAUAUUGCACAAUGGGCGCAAGCCGGAUGAAGCCAUGCCGCGUGUAUGAAGAAGGCCUUGGGGUUGUAAAGUACGUUCAGCGGGGAGGCGUUACCCGCAGAAGAAGCACCGGCUAACUCCGUGCCAGCCGCCGCGGUAAUUC
rnacentral:rRNA from 1 species